AGCCAAGACAGAAAAGCGAUUAUGUUGGAGAGUGCUACCAACUCUCCUUCAUUGAUCCAUAAUGAAUUAUGGAGCUUGUUCUCCUAGAACUGAGAGAAGAGAGGCUGGGAAUAGUCCUUGAGGUUUUGGAUUUGGUCAGAUGCAGGUGAUUCUGGGCAAACAAUGUUAGUGCCAUAGGGAAAAAAAAAAGAUACCGAUGCAAAUGAGAGUGUAAUCAGGCACAGCUUGUUGACAUAAAUAGGCUUUGGACAGGCUCAUGGUAAGCCACCGAUCCUGCAGAUGUUUACAACCACUUAUAACUUUAUUCACGGGAGCAUCACUAUGAAUGUAAAGCCAUGUGCACUUACAUGCUCACCGGGUGAGAGCAUGCUUGCCUGAGAGCCGCUUGUCAGUGGUGUGCUGACGGCUGCCCUGUAGCCUGGAGCUGACUGUUGAUGGCAGGAGCUGACAGAGGCACUGGCACAGAAAUACUCUACUGAGGCUGGAGAGAGGUCACUGCACUAGCUCCCUGCAAGGCAGGACAUGCCAGAGGAUUGAGAGGGACUCGAGCAGCUACUCAGUGUCUGCCCUUUCCCAUACAUGGUGCCUUUUAUUAACUCCUUGAAAACAGCUGCAUUGAACGCUGCUGUUUCGUGUUAACUUCUGAAGAGCUGUGAGGCUCCAAAGCAGAGCCUGCCUAGAAAAGGAAACAGCAGAAGGAGACUGGUGUACCAUCUCCUAAAAUAUGAGUAGAAAAAAGCAUCAAGGAAAAGAUCAUGGAAGUACUUAAGAAUUUCAGAAGUUGCUAUCCUUGGAAGAGAAAGAAAAACUUCAGAGAAACACUUCCAGAUACCAGAAGAAAGGGCAGUACCCCUCCUUUGCAGGGAGCCCCUCAGGGAGCAUUCUGCACAGUCAGAGGAGGGAAGAAAUGCUCUUCUCUGUGCUUCAGCCCAUAGCCUUAUCUUUUUGAUGACUGCAGUGUAAUAUGAACAUACAUCCCUCCUGCUCAAGCUGAGCUCCAAAGAGAGGUGCCUGCUAGGAAGUACAGUUGAGUUCAUAUUUGAUUAAAAGAACACUAGCAACAUUAAUAACUGGUACACCUGUGCUGGAAUUGGCAAUUAAACUCCGUCUCCUCCUGCGAAUUUUAGUCAUUAAAGGAACUUGCCAAAGGCUGGGACUUGGGUAUCACUUAGUCUCCCAAAUAGGACUGGAUGAGGGACCAGUCAUCUUCAUAAUGGCUCCUGCCAAGAACCUUGCAUCAUGCUUGAGGAAUGGGCAUGUCAGUGAGCUCGCUGGGGUGGCUGCAGAGGCUGCCUGCACAGCCACCACUCUCUUCUGAUUCAGGGGUCUUGCAUGUACUCCUGGAAGGUGCCAGACAGGCAUCCCUCAACAACCUGCCCCCUAACACAUCUCAUCACAGUCUCCACACACAGUUCAUCAUGAUCAGGAGCACUAAGCAGCUGCCUAUUUGCUCCAUGGUCUGCUUCCACUUCCCAUACACCUUGUGCAGCCUCAGAGGUUAAUGACUUUUGAAUAUUGCAGAUCUGGGAUGGGUUUCAAUGGCUGAUCCAGAGGCAAGAGGGUGAUCAUCUUGAUCAUCCAUUUUCCCUCUGCCAGUUACUAUUAUUGCUAACUGCUGUUCCACACACAUUGUAAUUAAGUGGAAAAAAUACAGACCAAAUGAAAAAGGGUACAAGCCUCUCAAAAACAUCUCUGCUUUAGCUGCAGCCUGACUCAGCCUUCAAUUAACAUUCUUACUUAAAAUAGUUUUGUUAUACAGCUUUUGUUAAAUCUUACAUAAUAGCAGACCAAAUCACCACCCCAGAGCACCAUGAGCUUGGCCCUGGUUUCCAGAGCACCAUCUCAUCCUGUCUUUGAUUCAAAUAGUCUUGGAUAUGGGUGAGCUACUGGAGGAGAGCAUGCAGCACACUUGCAGCUUUGCCUUGGUGGGCACAGUGAGCUGGUGCUGCCACUAGAAGAAGUGGUCCCACUCUCCCCCACUCUGGCUGCUUGGUUCUGCCUAACGCUGCCCUUGGCAUCUUGCCUACAUUGCUGCUGGAGCAAAUCCGGCAGCACCAAUAGGUGCAGAGCAGCUAAACCUGCCCAGGUGCCCCCAUCCUGCUGUGCUGAGGGUGCUCCUGGGGCAAAAGGGAGCAGGCCGGGAUGGGAGGCUGGGAAGGGACCUCAGCAGUGGGAUCACUUUGGAGCUGUAGCAGAAGCCUCUCAUGCUGCACCUCAUGCUGCACCUGUACCCAUCCCGUCACUCACCAGUGGCUGUGCCCCACCUCAUCAGGCUGCUGAAGUGCACACUGGGGAAGAGGGAGGGACACAUGGACCAGCUGGGCUUCCAAGGGUCACGGGGCCACUCUGGAUGUAGGUCUGCCAUUUCCUACCACGGUCUGAGGAGCUUGAGAAGUGGGAUCCAUCUCUUGCAGAGCACUAUAGCAUCCCUGCCUCCAUCACCAACACUGAUAAUGUGGGGAAACCCCUGCGUUGCAGAGGAGUGUCCUUAUGGCUCAGUAGAGCUACAAAAACAUUUAAGUACCAGCAUGAUUUUUUUGAUGUUAUUCUUAUUGGGCCUGGUGUCUAACUGGUACAAAAUUGGAAUAAAACAUGUGUGUGUGUGUAUAUUCAUUUAUGUGCGUGCCCACAAAAUAUAAAAGGGGACUUUGUAUUAAAAUCUGGAAAAUUGGCACAUGGGAUGCAGGUAUGAAGGGAGGAAGAUACUCCUUUGUCUACUUCAGCUUGGGGGACUACUUUCCAUUUGAAGCCAUUGAUGUCAA